rnacentral:lncRNA from 10 species
GCGGGCUCGGAAAAGGACACCUGGAGGGCUGCUUUUUGUUGCUGUUUGAUUUUUCUUUUAUCUUUUCAAAUAACCGGACACACACACACAAAAUCGAAUUGUAAUCAGUGUGAAAGAAAAAGAAGAAAUGAAACCUGGAGUGCACCCUGGUUUUUCCAACGUCUUUCAGCUAGUGCAGCUUGAAAUUUUGGCAUGAAUAAGUUUAACUGUAACCCCCUGGCCUCAACCCUGGUGGAGCUGAGAGAAAGGUGUUGGUAAUCUGAAUUACUAAAAUACGACAGGAAUGCUGCUGAGGAAAAACUCUACUCUCAGGAGGACUUGCGCAAGGCAGGCUGGAGUGCACUGGCAUGAUCACACCUCACAGCAACCUCAAACUAACUGCUGGGCUCAAGUGAUCCUCCUGCCUCAGGCUCCAGAGUAGCUGGGACUACAGGUAUGUGUCACCAUGCCCAGUUAUUUUUAUUUAUUUAUUUAU